AAACACACCAAAGUGCAAAUUUGGAGACGCACCCCAACAAGGGUGCCGGGGCUUC
rnacentral:tRNA from 1 species